UAGGGAAUCUUCGGCAAUGGACGAAAGUCUGACCGAGCAACGCCGCGUGAGUGAAGAAGGUUUUCGGAUCGUAAAACUCUGUUGUUAGAGAAGAACAAGGACGUUAGUAACUGAACGUCCCCUGACGGUAUCUAACCAGAAAGCCACGGCUAACUACGUGCCAGCAGCCGCGGUAAUACGUAGGUGGCAAGCGUUGUCCGGAUUUAUUGGGCGUAAAGCGAGCGCAGGCGGUUUCUUAAGUCUGAGGUGAAAGCCCCCGGCUCAACCGGGGAGGGUCAUUGGAAACUGGGCGACUUGAGUGCAGAAGAGGAGAGUGGAAUUCCAUGUGUAGCGGUGAAAUGCGUAGAUAUAUGGAGGAACACCAGUGGCGAAGGCGGCUCUCUGGUCUGUAACUGACGCUGAGGCUCGAAAGCGUGGGGAGCAAACAGG
rnacentral:rRNA from 1 species